UGGGGAAUUUUGGACAAUGGGGGAAACCCUGAUCCAGCCAUCCCGCGUGUGCGAUGAAGGCCUUCGGGUUGUAAAGCACUUUUGGCAGGAAAGAAACGUCAUGGGUUAAUACCCCGUGAAACUGACGGUACCUGCAGAAUAAGCACCGGCUAACUACGUGCCAGCAGCCGCGGUAAUACGUAGGGUGCAAGCGUUAAUCGGAAUUACUGGGCGUAAAGCGUGCGCAGGCGGUUCGGAAAGAAAGAUGUGAAAUCCCAGAGCUCAACUUUGGAACUGCAUUUUUAACUACAGGGCUAGAGUGUGUCAGAGGGAGGUGGAAUUCCGCGUGUAGCAGUGAAAUGCGUAGAUAUGCAGAGGAACACCGAUGGCGAAGGCAGACUCCUGGGAUAACACUGACGCUCAUGCACGAAAGCGUGGGGAGCAAACAGG
rnacentral:rRNA from 1 species